UACGUAGGGUGCAAGCGUUAAUCGGAAUUACUGGGCGUAAAGCGUGCGCAGGCGGUUCGGAAAGAAAGAUGUGAAAUCCCAGGGCUCAACCUUGGAAUGGCAUUUUUAACUACCGGACUAGAGUGUGUCAGAGGGGGGUGGAAUUCCGCGUGUAGCAGUGAAAUGCGUAGAGAUGCGGAGGAACACCGAUGGCGAAGGCAGCCCCCUGGGAUAACACUGACGCUCAGGCACGAAAGCGUGGGGAGCAAACAGG
rnacentral:rRNA from 2 species